ACAGUCUUAAGCAGCUGGUUCUGAUUUCAAUGAUUAAGUGGAAAUUAAUCAAUCAGAAACAAUCAAGCAAAUACCCUGUUGGAAAUUUACCUUUAAAUCAGCAGUUGUCUACAGCUAACCUUACAGAAAGAUGGCAGCCAAGACUUGACAUAGUGUGAGAGGGAAGAUGUUUUCAUGUUUCAGGAGCCCAGUGCAUAAACUAUGCUCAACACAUGAAGCUCGGCUCAAGAAAUUCACAAGCAAAGAUCAACCACUCAAACCAAAUACAAUAAAGUGAUUCUGUAAUGAAAAGUAGUGGUUUCAAUUUCUCAAAAAAGUUUGAUUCAAGGGGACAUGUGAAUAGGGAUGAAGACAAAGAAAAUUAAAAUGCAGGAUGGUUCUAAGUGAUAAAGAACCUUUUAUAAAAAACUGUCAUAAUUAGAUGGAAAAUUUCCACACCAUCAUUUGCAUUGAGAGAUUUCCCUUAAUUUCCUACUGCCAUGACAGUAAUGAAAGAAAAAGAAUGAUGGGAGAAUAGGAUUAAUCAAAAGGGAGGAAGCUUUAAGAAAGAAGAGAGUAGAGAGCUAGAGAUUUCUUAAUUUAGUUUGGAAUGUUUCCAUUGGAAUGAAGUCAGAAAUACUCAUUCUGCUUGUCUACAUUCUUAUCUAUCUCUAGGUGUGUCAGUCUUUUCUAUUUUUAGAAGACUCUUAAAGAUGAAAAUCAUGAUUUAUUUAUGUGUAAUGGAAUAACAUUUGGUGGAUAAAUCUAGAAACAAUUCUCUUUGCACUAAUUAGAAGAGCUAUUAAUUUUUUGUCUUCAGAUACAUAGUGCUGUGUAAUUAUUGAGUGAGCCUGUUUAAGAAUAUGGAUGGUCCGAACACCUCCCAAAUAGAAAGGGAGCAUCCUCAGGCCUGAAUGACACUUUGAGGUGUUACUGCCAGUGAGUGAAAAUAUCUGACCUGCCAGUGUCCCAGGAGAGUACCAUAGAACUUUUUACUCUGCAUAGCCAUUAGGGAACAAACCAUCCUAUAGAGGACAGGAGUGUUGAUCUUUGACUGCGAACAUUUAAAAUCUUUGAACUUUAUAAAAAAAAACAACGUGAAAAUGCUUGAAUGCUUACAUACAUUAUGUGGUAUAUAAUUAAACCUUUUUGGGUGUAAAAGUAUUAUUUCAGCUCACAAACAUGUUUUGUGUUCAAGAUAAUGCAUGAUGUCUUAGACAUACAGAAAUGGGAUUAAGGCUUUUUCUCAAUGAGCUUACACUCUGAUGAUGGAGUAGCUAUAUCAGUUUUUUUACAGAAAGAGGUAAACAAAGAUAUAGAUGUAAACUGUAAUCUGUAUGUUAAAGUAAGUUCUAGAGAUGAUGAUGAAGAUGACGUGGGAUGUAUGGCCCCAAGAGUGGCCCUAACAUUGACUUAUCGAGAAAGUCAUUGACUUGAGCAUGCAUUUUUGGCAUCUUGCUUAUUAUUAUAAAAAUGAAACAA
rnacentral:lncRNA from 1 species